rnacentral:rRNA from 1 species
AUUGAACGCUGGCGGCAGGCCUAACACAUGCAAGUCGAACGAGUGGCGGACGGGUGAGUAAUGUCUGGGAAACUGCCUGAUGGAGGGGGAUAACUACUGGAAACGGUAGCUAAUACCGCAUACCAUCAGAUGUGUCCAGAUGGGAUUGGCUUGUUGGUGGGGUAACGGCUCACCAAGGCGACGAUCCCUAGCUGGUCUGAGAGGAUGACCAGCCACCCUGGAACUGGAACAAGGUCCAGACUCCUACGGGAGGCAGCAGUGGGGAUGAUUGCACAAUGGGCGCAAGCCGGAUGCGGCCAUGCCGCGUGUAUGAAGAAGGCCUUCGGGUUGUAAAGUACUUUCAGCGGGGAGGCGUUACCCGCAGAAGAAGCACCGGCUAACUCCGUGCCAGCAGCCGCGGUAAUUC